UACGAAGGGGGCUAGCGUUGCUCGGAAUCACUGGGCGUAAAGCGCACGUAGGCGGAUUGCUAAGUCAGGGGUGAAAUCCUGGAGCUCAACUCCAGAACUGCCUUUGAUACUGGCGAUCUCGAGUCCGGGAGAGGUGAGUGGAACUGCGAGUGUAGAGGUGAAAUUCGUAGAUAUUCGCAAGAACACCAGUGGCGAAGGCGGCUCACUGGCCCGGUACUGACGCUGAGGUGCGAAAGUGUGGGGAGCAAACAGG
rnacentral:rRNA from 1 species